UUUUAUCUUACACACGCAUGGGGAGAAAAUAACAAGUAGCAUUCACUAAAUCAUAGAGAUCCAGAUAUCUGGCACAUCAGAACUAUCCUCAGUCCUUCACUGGUCUCUGCCUUAAUGUCAAAUGCCGCAGAAAGACAGCUGAAGCCUACAGGCCACCGACUUUGAUCUCUGUGUAGAGCCAGCUCAGGCUUCGGAAAAUGAGAUGAGACAUUUAGAAGACCCUUUAAAGCAGGAGCAAUUAUCUCUAAGACUUGCAUUGAGGUGAUGGGGCGUGAUGUCACAUGGGGGCGGAGUCCUGAUGUCACGGACUUCCAUUCCCGUGGUCGCGACCGAGACCUUCCAGCGCUUCCGGACAAGAAACAGAUAAAGUCGACUCCCAGAGAGGGAAAUCUGGCUCCAAGAGGAAGCAUCUUGUUUCCUAUGAGUGUGACAUCAGCCAAAAGAGUCGGUGAGGUGCAGGCCUUUUCGACCUUCAAACCAUAUACAAAGUUCCUUCAGGAUCAGGACCUUCUGAGGUUCAUUCCAACCUUUGUGCUGAAGAUGCCUUCUUUCAGGAAUCUGAAUUAAAAGGUCCCAACAAGUGCUAAACACUCUUGAUGUGUCAAGAUGCCUCUGGAUCUAUAUGGAUAGAUUAUCCUAUUUGUCGGUAAUCGGUAACCUACUAUUAGUAGGUGUAUUAAGGAAGCGAUUAGGGAAGCCGAUGUCGCACAGUCUAUCCCAGACUUCGUAAGAGCCCAUUCAUCUAGGGCUGUAGCGACUUCAUUCUCAGAAAAAAGCUUGCUCUCUUUGGAAUUCAUCUGCAGCGCAGUCUUGUUGAGCACCGAGUCUACUUUUAUCUCCCAUUAUAGGCUUGAUGCUAGGAUGUCUGAUUAUUUGCCCAUAGGGCAAACUGUACUAAGUUCUGUCAGGCAGGAGAGUCCUCCAAUAAGGGUCCUUUUCUUGCUAACUCCCCAUUUGUGCUGCUGGUAGGAUGUAAGGGAAUUGUUAAUUUCUAACAAUAAUUUGUUGUCCCUUAGUCCUAACAGCAGCACACAAAUAUCCCACCCUAGUUUUUGGUUUACUUGUUAUGACACAGUGAGCUGGGGGUGAUCUCUCUCUCUCUAUAAAGGGUCAUAUUUACUUUAAUUCUAUUGUUACUACUUGGGCUCAUUAACAUUUCCGUCAUCUUACCCAUCCAUGGGUAGUUAACCCCAUCUGUGCUGCUGUUAGGACUAAAAAAAAUAUUGUUAAAAUGAUCAAUUUUUCUUUCACAGUUAAUACAGGACUGUACAAUUAAGACUUAUUCCUUAUUUUCCUCCUUUCCAGUAGUAUAUAUCAUUAUUUGAUACCAUUUAUUACCUUUUGUACUAC